AUGGCGACCUCCUCGCGUCUCGGCGGUGCCCGCCUCCCCUCCGGAUCCACAUCCUCCAUCAUUGCCGGGGCCGUGAGCGGCUACCACUUGCUCAAGGUCGACGGCUACUCGCGCACCAAGGAGCUCCCCAAUGGCGAGUGGAUCGACUCUUGCCCGUUCCAGGUGGGAGGCCGCACAUGGCAUCUUCGUUACUAUCCCAACGGGGACAAGUCCGAGUACAUCGAUUACAUAUCCCUCUUUCUCACACUCGAUGAUACCGUAGCCAAGGGCGAGACCGUGAAGGCACAAGUUAAGUUCAGCUUAAUCGACCAAGACGGGAAGCCGGUGCCGCUGCAUACCUUGACUACCAAGAUCAGAGACUUUUUGGUGGGUAAAAGUUGGGGAUUCCAGAAGUUUAUGAAAACGGAGGAAUUGGAGAAAUCAGAGCAUCUCAAGGACGAUUCCUUCACUGUAAAGGUCGAUGUCGCUAUGAUGAGCGAGUUCCAUGCGCAGGAGACACCAUCCAUCCCGGUGCCACCGUCUGACUUGCACCAGCAUUUGGGGAUUCUCCUGUCGAGCAAGGCGGGCGUCGAUGUCGAAUUCCGAGUCGGCGGGGAGACAUUUUCGGCCCACCGGUUGGUGCUAGCGGCGCGGUCUCCAGUCUUCAGAGCAGAAUUCUUCGGUUCGAUGAAGGAGGGAACCACCACUGAGGCCAUACCCAUAGAUGACAUGGAGGCGCAAGUGUUUAAUGCUCUGCUUACUUUCAUGUACACUGAUACGUUGCCAGAUAUGAAGCAACAAGAAGAAUCUGCCAUGGCUCAGCAUUUGCUUGUUGCAGCAGAUAGGUAUGAUUUGGAGAGGCUGAAGCUGAUUUGUGCAGAUAAGUUGUGCAAGCAUAUCGAUACUAGCUCCGUGGCGACCAUCUUGGCAUUGGCGGAGCAGCACCACUGCCAGGAGCUUAAGGCAGCAUGCUUGGUGUUCCUCAGCUCACCGACGAAUCUGGAUGCAGCCAUGGAGUCUGAAGGCUUCGACCUUUUAACCAAGAGCUGCCCUGGUGUUAUGAAGGAUUUCCUCGUGUCCCAGGUUGUUCCUAGUUUACUUGGGAAAAGAAAAUCAAAGGCAUGA
rnacentral:rRNA from 1 species